GUGCCAGCCGCCGCGGUAAUACGUAGGGUGCGAGCGUUGUCCGGAAUUAUUGGGCGUAAAGGGCUCGUAGGCGGUUUGUCGCGUCGGGAGUGAAAACCAUGGGCUUAACUCAUGGCUUGCUUCCGAUACGGGCAGACUAGAGGCAUGCAGGGGAGAACGGAAUUCCUGGUGUAGCGGUGAAAUGCGCAGAUAUCAGGAGGAACACCGGUGGCGAAGGCGGUUCUCUGGGCAUGUCCUGACGCUGAGGAGCGAAAGUGUGGGGAGCGAACAGGAUUAGAAACCCCAGUAGUCC
rnacentral:rRNA from 1 species